CUCCUCCGGGCUGACGGCCAGGAACACCUGGUUGGGCACCUGCAGCACAGGAGGCACCUGGUCAGAGGGCGGGUCUACUGUCCACAGUCCAGCUAAAGCUGCUUCACCCAGUCUGACCCCACCCACCUGAAUGAUGUCAUAAUGGACGCAGCGCUGUACAGGUGACUUACUUCUAAUGCUAACAGCUGAUGCUAACUGCUGAUGCAACCAGCGCUGCACAAUAAAUGAGCGUUCGUAGUCGGACAGGUCCAGAACUUCAUCGGCCCGGCCCAGUUCCUUCACCUGGACACACACAGGAAGUGCCGGUAACUGACUGAGGAGGCGGAGCUUGGAGGAUCAACAUCAGGUUCACUUCGGUCACUUCGGGCGACGGUUGAAGGUUUGAUCUGGCCAGGAAGACGGCCGCCGCAAACAGGAAGAGGCUGGUCACCACGGCAACGCUCUGAACCAACACACCAGGCCUAAUAUGGUGCUGACAGGAAAAGGAACCUGAACGCAUCACAGAACCAGAACCAGCUCUGUUCUCCAGUUCCCUGCAGGAUCUGGGUCUGGCUUAGGAGGAGAACCGUCAGAACCAACAGAACCAGACGCUUUGGGUUCUAACACUGCAGUGAGACCAGGAGGUUCUAAUCUCUGGUUCUGUGAGGCGGGUCCAGCUCGACAGUGAAACCUGAUCUUUCUGUGUUCCUCUCAGACUGAAACCGGACUCCUAUCAGCAGCAGGAAGUGGAGGAGAACCAGAUGGAACCGAACCAGAACCCAGAGGCCAGAGGAACACCAGGUUCUCUCGGGUCCAGUAGAACUCUGAGAUUCUGAAUGUUCUUCAGACUGAAACAUGCAGAAUCUGCCCAGAGUCCAGUUCAAAGGUCAUGAUGCCCCAGCCACCGCUCUAAGCCCCGCCCC